AAAUUUGUUGAUAUAUUUAUAAUUUAAAAAUUAUAAAUUCAAAAUAUUAAAGAAAAUCUAAAUGAGGAACCAAAAAGUCCUUGCUUUUCUAUUUUAUUUACCAAAACGACAUAGAGUCUCCGACCAGACGAGCCAUUUCCUCCCGGAAGCUCCUCACAUCACAACCAUGGUGCCAGCCUCCCUCCGUGGCACCACCAACUCUUCAUUCUCCCCUCACGCACCCCACCGGCUAUUUCCUCUCACGUGCCGCCCACGACGCCCCCACCUCCAUCUCCUUGGCCGCUUCAGCACCACCGUCGCCGUCGAAACCGUUGUAGAUGACCGGUUCGACGAGGGAUUGCCUCCGAUUCCGACGGCGCUUGAGGUGCUCGACAAGUCUAUUAGGUUGGUUCUGGAAGUGGCACAGCAUUUGGGUGAUAGAGCUCUCAAUGUUCACAAUCUUGGUCCCUACUUCUUCAACUAGCUGAAUGAUUGGCUAAUUUGAUACCUGUUGGUAGGGCGACCCUUGACCCUUGGCCGCAUCAUGAAUGUUAUUGGUGAACCCUUGUCUCUAAUUUUAUCAGAGACAGGUCACUUUCUUCCCAUCCAUAGAGAAGCUCAAGCUUUUGUUGAGCAGGCAACCGAACGGCAGAUUCUUGUUACAGGAAUUAAGGUGGUUUCUCUAUGUUUGCUGGUGUGGGAGAACAUGCCCGUGCGGGCAAUAAUUUGUACAGAGAAAUGAUUGAAAGUGGUGUCACUAAUCUUGGAGACUAGCAGGGUGACAGCAUUUCCGAGAUGCUGAAGGGCAAGAUGUGCUUCUCUUUAUUGAUAACAUUUUCCCUUUCACACAACUGAGCUGGCCUCUCAUUCUCUUCAGCUUUACUAUUUGGAUUUCGGAGUUAUAAUGUAUAUCUAUUUACUUGUUGAUCCUUUCUUUCUGCUUCCAUUGUAUUGUUUUAGCAAUGUGCCAAUCCUUCCAUUUUCUGUGUCCAUUCUUUAGGCUAACUCAGAGGUAUCUGCUUUGUCUGGUCAUAUCCCAUCUGCUGUCAGUUACGAACCCUUUUAACUGAUCUUGGAGGCCUUCGAGAGUGUAUUACCACAACCAAGAAUGGUUCUACUGCAUCCGUUCAAGCCAUUUAUGUCCCAGCUGAUGACUUGACUGAUCCAGCUCUGGCACAACUUCUACCCAUCUUGAUGCCACGACAGUCCUUUCAUGACAAAUACAGAAUAUCCAAGCUUGGCAUCUAUCCUGUGGUCAUCCCCUUGGAUUAUACAUCUCGCAUGCUUUUGUCCCAUACUCUGGGAAAAGUACUGCUCAUGCUGUUCAAAACGUUCUUCAAAACUAUAAGAAUGUGCAAGAUAUUAUAGCCAUGUUGGGAAUGGAUGAGCAUGGUGAAGAUGACAAGUUGACUGUUGCUGGUAAGAUUCAACGGUUCUUGAGCCAGCCUAUUCAGGUUUCCAAAGUGUUUACAGGAGCUCCAGGAAAAUAUGUUAAAUUGAAAGAGAGCAUUGACAGCUUCCAGGUGACUGGUUGAAGAUAUAAUUUCAUUUUGCACUCAUCAUUAAUCUUCCAGGUGUCAAGGAUAGCAUUGUGAUCUUAACUCAUUUCUAUACGAAUUUCUGUAAAUGGAUUGCUGAAAUAUACUAUUAGCUUAGGAAUUCUUAACGUGUUUGGCCAGUAUUCCUCCCAAAGUCUAUACCUUUGUUAUGAAUGUGCUGCCUCCGAUUUCUGUACUGAGGGAUUUCUAUUUUUUACAUGGAGUUCUUGAUGGAAGAUAUGAUGACCUUCUGGAGCUGUCAUUUUAUAUGGGUUGGCAGGAUUGGAUAAGCCAUUAAUAUGAUGACCUUCUGGAGCUGUCAUUUUAUAUGGUUUGGCAGGAUUUUAUAUGGGUUGGCAGGAUUGAAUAAGCCAUUAAUAUGAUGACCUUCGGAGCUGACAUUUUAUAUGGGUUGGCAGGAUUGGAUAAGCCAUUAAUAUGGUGACCUUCUGGAGAUGUCAUUUUAUGUGGGUUGGCAGGAUUGAAUAAGUCAUUACAAAGGCCAAGAAGAUUGCUAAUGAGUCUGCUACUCAGGAACUUCCAGAUGGUUUAUCUCUGUUCUUCAGCAGCUUAGAAAGAUCUGAUUAUAUUUAUAUAAAUUUCAAUUGUAAUGCCGCUAGUAUCACAAAUUACCGACGAUGUUGAGGAAUACUGGAGUUAUGAAAUGAGGAAUGGGCAUGUUAUUCUUGGAAAUUAUACAUGUAAGAUCUAAAAGUGCCCUUUUUUAUGGCUUGCAUAUCUCCUCUAUCUUGUAUUAAAAAAAUAAAAUUUUUUGGCUGACAGCUGUGGGAUUUGAACCCACGCCCUUUCGGACCAGAGCCUAAAUCUGGCGCCUUAGACCACUCGGCCAAACUGUCGGAUGUUGAUUUCUGCGUGGUCACUUUAAUAAGAUUAAUUUAUAACAACAGAAAGAAAACCACGCACUACAUUAUUGUAUGAUUACAAGAUCACUGGGAACUUUAUAUGAAUAAUGAAACACAAUAGAGUUUUACUCAAAUUCCAACUUCCAAGAAGAUAAUUUAAUACUUAAUUGCACCACACGCUCUUUUAUUUAGGGCCUUCAACUGCCUCAACAUAAUAUAAUCUGGAGUCCUUGUUCUUGUUCUUCACUUCUUCAGCUUAGAAAGCUUCAGGCAAUUAGGCUGAAUCAAGCUAGCUUGACUGGAAAUUAUAGCUGUCAUGGACUUGAAAUCUUAAAAAUACAAUACAUAUAUAGUUAUAUAUAUAUAUAUAUAUAUAUAUUCUACUAGAUAGAGAAUCAUUGUAGACCUUUAAUUUUGUCUAAUUCAAUUGCUUUGUGCUUGAGUAGAACAAAUAGUGAGGCAUUUGUUUCCUCGGGAUCAAUGAUUGAGAAUGAAUCUUCAAAUCUCUUGCAUAAUAGAUCAAACAGCUCAUCUAAAAUCUCAGGUCCAAAAUGUUUCUCUAUCAAUGGUCCUAAGCCAGCUCUAAGUACAGACGAGAAGACCAUAGGUGAUGGCUUUUCAAAAGGAAAGGUCUCCAUUAUUUCUAUGCUGAAACAUCCAUUUCGAUCCAGAAUUUCUUCCACUUGUUCAAAAGUUGCAAAGUAUUCUGGGAUGUUAAAACUGUCUAUUUUCUCUUCACUUACAAUGCUCUGUUUCAGGAAAUUUGCAACAUAUUUUAAAAAUUAAAAAAAAAAAAAAACCACUAAACAUAU